UACGUAGGUGGCAAGCGUUGUCCGGAAUUAUUGGGCGUAAAGCGCGCGCAGGCGGUCCUUUAAGUCUGAUGUGAAAGCCCACGGCUCAACCGUGGAGGGUCAUUGGAAACUGGGGGACUUGAGUGCAGAAGAGGAAAGCGGAAUUCCACGUGUAGCGGUGAAAUGCGUAGAGAUGUGGAGGAACACCAGUGGCGAAGGCGACUACCGGGCCUGUUCUUGACGCUGAGGCGCGAAAGCUAGGGGAGCAAACGGG
rnacentral:rRNA from 1 species